AUGAUUUCCCAGUGACUUAGUGGGGUUUUCGUUCCCCACAUAAACCUUCUGACAAUUUUUGCAGGUGUGUUCUCCAGUUGCUGGGCCCACCUCCCUGGUCACCAUGCUUUUCCAGAGAUGACAAGGUGGCCCUUUGAAGGACCCACUCAGUUUACUCAGCACCCUGAGACGCAACCUGUUAGAUCUCAUUGGCAGGGACAGGACAGUGAUUGCAUGCAACUUUGA
rnacentral:lncRNA from 1 species